CAGAAACUCAACGGAACUUGACGGGGCCCGCACAAGCGGUGGAGCAUGUGGUUAAUUCGAUGAUACGCGAGGACCUUACCUGGGCUCAAAUGUAUGUUUGACGUAUUCUGAAAGGGAUACUUCUUCGGACAAUAUACAAGGUGCUGCAUGGUUGUCGUCAGCUCGUGCCGUGAGGUGUCCGGGUUAAGUCCCAUAACGAGCGCAACCCCUAUCAUUAGUUGCCAUCAGGUCAAGCUGGGGACUCUAAUGAAACUGCCUACGCAAGUAGUGAGGAAGGUGGGGAUGACGUCAAAUCAGCACGGCCCUUACGUCCAGGGCUACACACGUGCUACAAUGGCCGGUACAAAGGGCAGCUACCUGGUGACAGGAUGCUAAUCUCAAAAAGCCGGUCUCAGUUCGGAUCGGAGUCUGCAACUCGACUCCAUGAAGUUGGAAUCGCUAGUAAUCGUGGAUCAGCAUGCCACGGUGAAUACGUUCCCGGGCCUU
rnacentral:rRNA from 1 species